UGGGGAAUCUUAGACAAUGGGCGCAAGCCUGAUCUAGCCAUGCCGCGUGAGUGAUGAAGGCCCUAGGGUCGUAAAGCUCUUUCGCCAGGGAUGAUAAUGACAGUACCUGGUAAAGAAACCCCGGCUAACUCCGUGCCAGCAGCCGCGGUAAUACGGAGGGGGUUAGCGUUGUUCGGAAUUACUGGGCGUAAAGCGCGCGUAGGCGGACCAGAAAGUUGGGGGUGAAAUCCCGGGGCUCAACCCCGGAACGGCCUCCAAAACUCCUGGUCUUGAGUUCGAGAGAGGUGAGUGGAAUUCCGAGUGUAGAGGUGAAAUUCGUAGAUAUUCGGAGGAACACCAGUGGCGAAGGCGGCUCACUGGCUCGAUACUGACGCUGAGGUGCGAAAGUGUGGGGAGCAAACAGGAUUAGAUACCCUGGUAGUCCACACCGUAAACGAUGAAUGCCAGUCGUCGGGUAGCAUGCUGCUCGGUGACACACCUAACGGAUUAAGCAUUCCGCCUGGGGAGUACGGUCGCAAGAUUA
rnacentral:rRNA from 1 species